rnacentral:rRNA from 1 species
UAGAACGCUGAUUAGAGGAGCUUGCUCUUCUUGGAUGAGUUGCGAACGGGUGAGUAACGCGUAGGUAACCUGCCUUGUAGCGGGGGAUAACUAUUGGAAACGAUAGCUAAUACCGCAUAACAAUGGAUGACACAUGUCAUUUAUUUGAAAGGGGCAAUUGCUCCACUACAAGAUGGACCUGCGUUGUAUUAGCUAGUAGGUGAGGUAAUGGCUCACCUAGGCGACGAUACAUAGCCGACCUGAGAGGGUGAUCGGCCACACUGGGACUGAGACACGGCCCAGACUCCUACGGGAGGCAGCAGUAGGGAAUCUUCGGCAAUGGGGGCAACCCUGACCGAGCAACGCCGCGUGAGUGAAGAAGGUUUUCGGAUCGUAAAGCUCUGUUGUAAGUCAAGAACGGGUGUGAGAGUGGAAAGUUCACACUGUGACGGUAGCUUACCAGAAAGGGACGGCUAACUACGUGCCAGCAGCCGCGGUAAUACGUAGGUCCCGAGCGUUGUCCGGAUUUAUUGGGCGUAAAGCGAGCGCAGGCGGUUUGAUAAGUCUGAAGUUAAAGGCUGUGGCUCAACCAUAGUUCGCUUUGGAAACUGUCAAACUUGAGUGCAGAAGGGGAGAGUGGAAUUCCAUGUGUAGCGGUGAAAUGCGUAGAUAUAUGGAGGAACACCGGUGGGCCGAAAGCGGCUCUCUGGUCUGUAACUGACGCUGAGGCUCGAAAGCGUGGGGAGCGAACAGGAUUAGAUACCCUGGUAGUCCACGCCGUAAACGAUGAGUGCUAGGUGUUGGAUCCUUUCCGGGAUUCAGUGCCGCAGCUAACGCAUUAAGCACUCCGCCUGGGGAGUACGACCGCAAGGUUGAAACUCAAAGGAAUUGACGGGGGCCCGCACAAGCGGUGGAGCAUGUGGUUUAAUUCGAAGCAACGCGAAGAACCUUACCAGGUCUUGACAUCCCGAUGCUAUUUCUAGAGAUAGAAAGUUACUUCGGUACAUCGGUGACAGGUGGUGCAUGGUUGUCGUCAGCUCGUGUCGUGAGAUGUUGGGUUAAGUCCCGCAACGAGCGCAACCCCUAUUGUUAGUUGCCAUCAUUCAGUUGGGCACUCUAGCGAGACUGCCGGUAAUAAACCGGAGGAAGGUGGGGAUGACGUCAAAUCAUCAUGCCCCUUAUGACCUGGGCUACACACGUGCUACAAUGGUUGGUACAACGAGUUGCGAGUCGGUGACGGCGAGCUAAUCUCUUAAAGCCAAUCUCAGUUCGGAUUGUAGGCUGCAACUCGCCUACAUGAAGUCGGAAUCGCUAGUAAUCGCGGAUCAGCACGCCGCGGUGAAUACGUUCCCGGGCCUUGUACACACCGCCCGUCACACCACGAGAGUUUGUAACACCCGAAGUCGGUGAGGUAACCUUUUGGAGCCAGCCGCCUAAGGUGGGACAGAUG